rnacentral:rRNA from 1 species
UAACUAGGAUUCCCCCAGUAACGGCGAGUGAAGAGGGACUAGCCCAAAUUUGUAAUCUGGCUCUUUCAGAGUCCGAGUUGUAAUCUCGAGAACGGUUUUCCGUGUUGGACCUUGUAUAAGUCUGUUGGAAUAUAGCUUCAUAGAGGGUGAGAAUCCCGUAAAUGACGAGGACUACCAAUGCUUUGUGAUACCGUCUCCAAGAGUCGAGUUGUUUGGGAAUGCAGCUCAAAUCGGGUGGUAAAUUCCAUCUAAGGCUAAAUAUUGGCGAGAGACCGAUAGCGAACAAGUACCGUGAGGGAAAGAUGAAAAGCACUUUGGAAAGAGAGUUAACAGUACGUGAAAUUGUUAAAAGGGAAACGCUUGAAGUCAGUCUUGUAGCGAUUUGUUCAACCGCAAGGUGUAUUCAAAUUGUAACAGGCCAACAUCAGUUUCCGGUGACGGAUAAGGGUUUUUGGAAUGUAGCAAUUUCGGUUGUGUUAUAGCCAUUGACUUGAUACGUUGCUGGGGAUUGAGGAACGCAGUGAGCCUUUUGGCGGGUCUUUUGACCUUCUCACUAUGGAUGUUGGCGUAA